CACACCAUUCACACGAAUACAAUUGUUAUUCUUCUUCUUUCAAUUCUCGAUUCCAACAAAAAAAACUAAAGUUCUGUAUUGUUUUUUUUUCUUAAACUUUGGCUAAAAUUAUGUAUUAUUGUUCAAGCAGUUCAUUUCCAAAACAAAACAGCCAAAUUUUAAAGCAUAAUUUUCAAGACUCUGACUUCGACAACAUUGAUAUCGAGAAUGAUGAUGAAGCAGCAGAAAAUAUUGAGAAUAAUGAACAUGAUGAAGAUAAUACUUUGAGAGGCGAAGAAGAAUCAGAAGCUGGGACGUAUAUGCAAAUAGUUCGUGAUCAGAUUGCUGAAUAAAUAUGGGCCGCUAAUCAACGUAGACCUCGACGUCGUUAUUAACUUAUUGUAAUUUUAAUGUUCAUUUCUUUAAUGUCAAUUUUUUUUGUAUUGUAAUAUUUUCUAUUAUUUUAUAUAUUAUAAUUUUAUGCAAUAUGCAAUUUUUAACAUUUUUAUUAAUAUUUUUUGUCAUCUUAUGUUUUUAUGAAUAAAUGUUAAGUUUUUAUUUAAUUCAUUUA